rfam:Oryza nivara chromosome 6, whole genome shotgun sequence.
GUUUAGUUAGUUUUAUACUGUUCAUAUCAAACGAUUUACCAUCCUACUUAUUUGAAAUUUUUUUAUGAUUAGUAUUUUUAUUGUUAUUAGAUGAUAAAACGUGAAUAGUACUUUAUGUGCGAUUAAUUUUUUAAUUUUUAAAAUAAGACGGACAGUCAAACGUUUGACAUGGAUACCCAUAGCUGUACUUAUU